rnacentral:rRNA from 1 species
AUUGAACGCUGGCGGUAGGCCUAACACAUGCAAGUCGAACGGCAGCACAGUAAGAGCUUGCUCUUACGGGUGGCGAGUGGCGGACGGGUGAGGAAUACAUCGGAAUCUACUUUUUCGUGGGGGAUAACGUAGGGAAACUUACGCUAAUACCGCAUACGACCUACGGGUGAAAGCAGGGGACUUCGGACCUUGCGCUAUUGAAUGAGCCGAUUUCGGAUUAGCUAGUUGGCGGGGUAAAGGCCCACCAAGGCGACGAUCCGUAGCUGGUCUGAGAGGAUGAUCAGCCACACUGGAACUGAGACACGGUCCAGACUCCUACGGGAGGCAGCAGUGGGGAAUAUUGGACAAUGGGCGCAAGCCUGAUCCAGCCAUACCGCGUGGGUGAAGAAGGCCUUCGGGUUGUAAAGCCCUUUUGUUGGGAAAGAAAAGCAGCAGGUUAAUACCCCGCUGUUCUGACGGUACCAAAAGAAUAAGCACCGGCUAACUUCGUG